rnacentral:lncRNA from 1 species
CUGAUCAUCCUCCUUGGUUAUUUGAAUUGUUUGUUAAUGAAAGCCGUUCCCUCUAAGUGGGCCUUCAGGUUUGUAUGUGUCGGCCAAAUGUUUUGGGAAGAAGAAGAGUUACGCUGGAUGGAGAAUUGGAGUCUUUUGGUGAUUUCCUCCUGUAGCUGAUUUGUAGUCUUUCUUUCUUCGUAUAUAUGGUGGUAUAGAGCAGAUGAAGUGCGGUUGUUCUU